GGAAGGAACAAAGGGAAUGAAGACAGACUAAGGCUUUUAGCCACUGCCGUUAGGCUGCCUGACCACCUCACGGCCACCCAAACCAACUCCAAAGAAGAGCACAAGGGUUACCCAAUCCUCUGCCAAAGAGAUGGAGGACAAGGGUGUUUGCACAGCCUGUGGGCCCCAUCAGCCAAAGGAGAGAUCAUCUGCUCCUGCUCCAUUGUGCUCCUCAUAAUCAAGCCCUUCAGACUACCUCUCAGUUAUUGAAGACCUUGAAGACCAUACCCAGAAGUGUGAG